CAACUUUCCUCCUAAAUCGGUGAUACACCUAUGUAAAAUAAACAUUCAAAUAUUAAUGGUAUAUUUAGUUCAAUAGGUAUGCUUUUUAUUUCUGCUUUGUUGUCGAUUAGAAUAUAGCAGCCCGCAUUUUUAAACUCAGAUUCUAAGAGAGAAUAUAGGUACUUUUCUAAUAAUGUUGAUACGUAUAAUACUAAUAUCAUGGAUGCUAUAUAGUUUGUGAGUCAGUAGUUU